rnacentral:rRNA from 1 species
ACCUGCCCACUGAAAAUUUUUAAAGGCCGCAGUAAUUUGACUGUGCAAAGGUAGCAUAAUCAUUAGUUUUUUAAUUAAAAGCUUGUAUGAAGGGUUGGACGAGAUAAAGACUGUCUCUGAAUAAAUAGUAGAAUUUAAUUUUUAAGUUAAAAAGCUUAAAUAUUAUUAAAAGACGAGAAGACCCUAUAGAUCUUUAUAGUUAAUAAUUAAUUUUAUUUAUGAUUUUUUUAUUUAUUAGUAGUUAAACUAUUUUAUUGGGGUAAUAGAAAGAUUUAAAUAAUUCUUUUUUAAGGAAAACAAUAAUAAUUGAAAAUUUGAUCCAUUAUUAGUGAUUAUAAGAUUAAGUUACCUUAGGGAUAACAGCGUAAUUUUUUUAAAGAGUUCAUAUCGAUAAAAAAGUUUGCGACCUCGAUGUUGGAUUAAAACUUAUCUUAGGUGCAGAAUUUUAAGAUUUUGGUCUGUUCGACCAUUAAAGUUUU